ACGGAGGGUGCGAGCGUUAUUCGGAAUUACUGGGCGUAAAGCGCGUGCAGGCGGGGAGGCAAGUCUGAUGUGAAAGCCCUGGGCUUAACCCGGGAAGGGCAUUGGAAACUGUCUGACUUGAGGACGGGAGAGGAAGGGGGAAUUCCCGGUGUAGCGGUGCAAUUCGUAGAGAUCGGGAGGAAAACCAGUGGCGAAGGCGCCCUUCUGGACGGUUACUCACGCUGAGACGCGAAAACGUGGGGAGCAAACAG
rnacentral:rRNA from 1 species